rnacentral:rRNA from 1 species
UACAGAGGUCCCAAGCGUUGUCCGGAUUCAUUGGGCGUAAAGGGCGCGUAGGCGGCCUUCUAAGUCAGACGUGAAAUCCCUCGGCUCAACCGAGGAACUGCGUCUGAUACUGGAAGGCUUGAAUCCGGGAGAGGGAUGUGGAAUUCCAGGUGUAGCGGUGAAAUGCGUAGAUAUCUGGAGGAACACCGGUGGCGAAGGCGGCAUCCUGGACCGGUAUUGACGCUGAGGCGCGAAGGCUAGGGGAGCAAACGGG